GACGCACCAGUCGGCAAACUCCUCUCCCGCUGCAAAAACUUCUGCCGGCCUCAGAGAGACAUUACAGAAACCCAUGUCCGGCCGCUUCCGCCGGCGAGCAGCGUUACCACAUCGCCCUUGUGCACCGAAACCGCAUCCGAGCAGUAGUUCUCCGUGAUGGCAAGCAGUGUCUGUCGAACGGCGGCCGCAGCGGCGGCUCCCGCUGUGCAAACUCCACUCCCAGGCACCGAUAACGUCCCAUUCGCGUUGGUCGUACCGUAGCGAGAGCAUAGCAACAUAAACGUGGUACCGUGCCGUCACAGUGCAGAAAGAAACGGCCGAUUAUUUGGAAUGAGGCGAUGAACCGAGAGAGCGAAACGAUUCGAAGAGCAUCGCGUUAUGCUGCUGUCAACAAAGCAGCGGGCGGGCCAGCAGCCACACGGACAGCGCUGCAAAAGGAUUCACGCUUUGAGAAUCCAUCUGUUGCUAGACCGCAUCAAACACAACGGCCACUCGUUCAACAUCCAACCAGCUCUGCUGUCUAGAGUCGGUCGACUCUAGUCAAAGUGUAUGCAAUGAGCGCUGCCGGUAUCUACGUCACUCGAUCUGUCGCAUUUCAUGUCAACGCCGGUACGGCAGCAUAACAGUGAGGAGUGAAACGAAACCCGGGCCAUAGGCAAACGCUCCCGCAGCAGCAUAACAGCCUUACCCUCAACCGCCUCCGGACUACGGCAACUAAAACAAAAGAUUAAACCCGAUUCUGCCCGAUGAUUCGGUGUAGCCUGUCCACCUUUAAUCCGGGUGGAUCGUUCACCGUGGCGUGGCUAUUUCGUAAGCCAAGAAAGCCAACCUUCGAUACAGUUGGGAGAGAUGGGCAGGCCAAAAAAAAGGGUGUCUAGCGUGUGCUCUCUCCUCGCUGCUUGUGCGUCCGCGCUGCUAGAAAAAUGAAAUCGAAACAACAAACGAAAACAAUCUUCACGCGCGCCACCCAAGCCCAGCCUCUUCCAACAGCGCAACUGUGUGUCCACCUUUGGUGUCCCAUCUGUGAGGUUCUUUUUUUGGACGUCUUUCUUUCACUCUCGUCCUCUCGUGCCUUUUUUGUUUUGUGCUUGCUCAUCCAAUUCUGAUGAGAUUAGAUUUUUUUAACCCCUUUACGCACCCUAUUCUACCGUGCCGAGACGGUCGGCUGGCUCAACUUCGAUUCGAUCGACGAACAUUUUUCUCCCUGGCCUUUCGAAGCUUGGCAAAAGCAUUCGUUGGUGUAUGUGUGUGUGUGUGUAUGUAUCGCGGAUCUAACGAUCAUCUCCCGUGCUUGACAAACCACACCACUGAAACAAUCUCGGCCGGGGGGUAGCAGGGCACCAAAGCACUGGCUGGUAGGCUGUAACGCGCCAAAUUACACGCUCGUGAUGGUGGUGAAUUUAUUUAGAUUAGCUUCCAUUUUCGGCCAUACGCGUACAUAUUGGAUGCGCAUUACAACACACACACACAUAUACACACACACCAGCACACGAAUAAGGGCUAAAGGAAGGCAACAGACAAACGAAAGCAACACGUGCCCGUGUGUUGUUUCUGUGCUUCUCGCGUGCGUUUGUUUAGAAGAAGGGUCUUAAUUCCUGCCUGAUUAAGAUAGAACCGCCGCUUCACCGCGGUCUGCAAAAGAGGGGAGGGAGUAAAGGGGGGUUUCAAGUGACGAAUGUUGAUUUGUUGUACACCCCUUUCCCGCCCUUAGUCGGGUGGUUGGGUGAAGAAAAAAUCGUUUUUCUCCUCCCAUCGCAGUGGCGUACAGCUUCUCGUUAAGGGUCUUCUGGGGCCGCUGUAGCUUAUCGCGAAGAAGCAAAAACACAGAACCAAAAAAAAUAUAUAUAGGAGGCAAUAUUUCAGUA